rnacentral:rRNA from 1 species
CAGCCGCCGCGGGAAUACGUAGGGUGCAAGCGUUAAUCGGAAUUACUGGGCGUAAAGCGUGCGCAGGCGGUUUGUUGAGACAGAUGUGAAAUCCCCGGGCUCAACCUGGGAACUGCAUUUGUGACUGGCAAGCUAGAGUGUGGCAGAGGGGGGUGGAAUUCCGCGUGUAGCAGUGAAAUGCGUAGAUAUGCGGAGGAACACCGAUGGCGAAGGCAGCCCCCUGGGCCAACACUGACGCUCAUGCACGAAAGCGUGGGGAGCAAACAGGAUUAGAUACCCGAGUAGUCCCUGUCUCUUAUAC